rnacentral:rRNA from 1 species
GACGAACGCUGGCGGCGUGCUUAACACAUGCAAGUCGAACGGAAAGGCCCCCACUUUUUUGGUGGGGGUGCUCGAGUGGCGAACGGGUGAGUAACACGUGGGUGAUCUGCCCUGUACUUCGGGAUAAGCUUGGGAAACUGGGUCUAAUACCGGAUAGGACCAUGGUUUAGUGUCUCAUGGUGGAAAAAUUAUUGUUUUGGUGCAGGAUGAGCUCGCGGCCUAUCAGCUUGUUGGUGGGGUAAUGGCCUACCAAGGCGUCGACGGGUAGCCGGCCUGAGAGGGUGGACGGCCACAUUGGGACUGAGAUACGGCCCAGACUCCUACGGGAGGAAGCAGUGGGGAAUAUUGAACAAUGGGCGCAAGCCUGAUGCAGCGACGCCGCGUGGGGGAUGACGGCCUUCGGGUAGUAAACUCCUUUCGUUAGGGACGAAGCCGCACCUUUUUUGGGUGUGGUGACGGUACCUUUGUUAAGAAGCACCGGCUAACUACGUG